GGUUAAGCGACUAAGCGUACACGGUGGAUGCCCUGGCAGUCAGAGGCGAUGAAGGGCGUGCUAAUCUGCGAUAAGCGCCGGUAAGGUGAUAUGAACCGUUAUAACCGGCGAUACCCGAAUGGGGAAACCCAGUGUGAUUCGUCACACUAUCAUUAACUGAAUCCAUAGGUUAAUGAGGCGAACCGGGGG
rnacentral:rRNA from 1 species